AACGAACGCUGGCGGCAUGCCUAACACAUGCAAGUCGAACGAGAUCUUCGGAUCUAGUGGCGCACGGGUGCGUAACGCGUGGGAAUCUGCCCUUGGGUUCGGAAUAACAGUGAGAAAUUACUGCUAAUACCGGAUGAUGUCUUCGGACCAAAGAUUUAUCGCCCAGGGAUGAGCCCGCGUAGGAUUAGGUAGUUGGUGGGGUAAUGGCCUACCAAGCCGACGAUCCUUAGCUGGUCUGAGAGGAUGAUCAGCCACACUGGGACUGAGACACGGCCCAGACUCCUACGGGAGGCAGCAGUGGGGAAUAUUGGACAAUGGGCGCAAGCCUGAUCCAGCAAUGCCGCGUGAGUGAUGAAGGCCUUAGGGUUGUAAAGCUCUUUUACCAGGGAUGAUAAUGACAGUACCUGGAGAAUAAGCUCCGGCUAACUCCGUGCCAGCCGCCGCCGUAA
rnacentral:rRNA from 1 species